rnacentral:rRNA from 1 species
UACACGCUGUGACUAGCAUAUCAAUAAGCGGAGGAAAAGAAACUAACAAGGAUUCCCCUAGUAACGGCGAGUGAAGCGGGAAGAGCUCAAAUUUGAAAUCUUAAAGGGUUUCCCUUUACGAAUUGUAGUUUAAAGAAGUGUUUUCUGUUGAGGUUUUGGUAAAAGUUCUUUGGAAUAGGACAUCAUAGAGGGUGAGAAUCCCGUAUUUGACCUUUACUUUCAACUUUGUGAUACACUUUCAAAGAGUCGGAUUGUUUUGGAAUGCAGUCCAAAAUGGGUGGUAAAUUUCAUCUAAAGCUAAAUAUUGGCGAGAGACCGAUAGCGAACAAGUACCGUGAGGGAAAGAUGAAAAGAACUUUGAAAAGAGAGUUAAACAGUACGUGAAAUUGUCAAAAGGGAAGCGUUUGACACCAGUGUUGUUUUUCUGAAAAUCAAUUAAAGAACUGUUUAUGCUAAGUUGUUUAGACUUUAUCAGCUAACUGUUUAGUUUUGAGCUUUUCUUUAAUGCACUUUUCAGUUAACAAGUCAACAUCAAUUUCUUUUGCUGUAAAAAAGCUUGAGGAAGGUGGCUUGAGAUUCGUCUUAAGUGUUUAUAACCUCUUGCCUAUGCAGUCGGAGAGAUUGAGGUCUGCAGCGUAGAUCCUUCGGGGCUAAAUGCAUUUGCUGCUAAGUUAUAGCAUUUUAUAGACAACUUGUUGACUAUGAUUUGUCUUGUAGCUUACUCGCUUAUGUUAUUUUACCUACGCUUAGGAUGUUGAGUCGUAGAGCACGCAG